UCCGUGUUAACCACGGCAGUCUCCUUAGAGAGCCCAACUCAAUGCUGGCAACUAAGGACAGGGGUUGCGCUCGUUGCGGGACUUAACCCAACAUGUCACCACACGAGCUGACGACAGCCAUGCAGCACCUGUCUCUCUGCUGUAUUGCUACAGAAGUCGUAUCUCUACGAUUGUCAGAGGAUGUCAAACCCAGGUAAGGUUUUUCGCGUUGCUUCGAAUUAAACCACAUGAUCCACCGCUUGUGCGGGCCCCCGUCAAUUCCUUUGAGUUUCAACCUUGCGGUCGUACUCCCCAGGCGGGGUACUUCCUGCGUUAGCGCCGGCACCCAGAGGGUCGCUCCCCCAGGCACCUAGUACCCAUCGUUUACGGCGUGGACUAC
rnacentral:misc_RNA from 1 species